CCUACGGGUGGCUGCAGUCGAGAAUCAUUCACAAUGGGGGAAACCCUGAUGGUGCGACGCCGCGUGGGGGAAUGAAGGUCUUCGGAUUGUAAACCCCUGUCAUGUGGGAGCAAAUUAAAAAGAUAGUACCACAAGAGGAAGAGACGGCUAACUCUGUGCCAGCAGCCGCGGUAAUACAGAGGUCUCAAGCGUUGUUCGGAAUCACUGGGCGUAAGGCGUGCGUAGGCUGUUUCGUAAGUCGUGUGUGAAAGGCGCGGGCUCAACCCGCGGACGGCACAUGAUACUGCGAGACUAGAGUAAUGGAGGGGGAACCGGAAUGCUCGGUGUAGCAGUGAAAUGCGUAGAUAUCGAGAGGAACACUCGUGGCGAAGGCGGGUUCCUGGACAUUAACUGACGCUGAGGCACGAAGGCCAGGGGAGCGAAAGGGAUUAGAUACCCGGGUAGUC
rnacentral:rRNA from 1 species